rnacentral:rRNA from 1 species
UACGGAGGGGGCUAGCGUUGUUCGGAAUUACUGGGCGUAAAGCGCACGUAGGCGGCUUUGUAAGUUAGAGGUGAAAGCCCGGGGCUCAACCCCGGAAUUGCCUUUAAGACUGCAUCGCUAGAAUUGUGGAGAGGUAAGUGGAAUUCCGAGUGUAGAGGUGAAAUUCGUAGAUAUUCGGAAGAACACCAGUGGCGAAGGCGACUUACUGGGACGUUACUGACGCUAAGGCGCGAAAAGCGUGGGGAGCGAACAGG